rnacentral:rRNA from 1 species
GACGAACGCUGGCGGCGUGCUUAACACAUGCAAGUCGAACGGUGAAGCCUUCGGGUGGAUCAGUGGCGAACGGGUGAGUAACACGUGAGCAAUCUGCCCUUGACUCUGGGAUAACUUCGGGAAACCGGAGCUAAUACCGGAUAUGACAUCUGGCCGCAUGGUCUGGGUGUGGAAAGAUUUAUCGGUCAAGGAUGAGCUCGCGGCCUAUCAGCUUGUUGGUGGGGAAUGGCCCACCAAGGCGACGACGGGUAGCCGGCCUGAGAGGGCGGCCGGCCACACUGGGACUGAGACACGGCCCAGACUCCUACGGGAGGCAGCAGUGGGGAAUAUUGCGCAAUGGGCGGAAGCCUGACGCAGCGACGCCGCGUGAGGGAUGAAGGCC